rnacentral:rRNA from 1 species
GACGAACGCUGGCGGCGUGCCUAAUACAUGCAAGUAGAACGCUGAAGGAGGAGCUUGCUUCUCUGGAUGAGUUGCGAACGGGUGAGUAACGCGUAGGUAACCUGCCUGGUAGCGGGGGAUAACUAUUGGAAACGAUAGCUAAUACCGCAUAAUAGCAGUUGUUGCAUGAUAACUGUUUGAAAGGUGUAAUUGCACCACUACCAGAUGGACCUGCGUUGUAUUAGCUAGUUGGUGGGGUAACGGCUCACCAAGGCGACGAUACAUAGCCGACCUGAGAGGGUGAUCGGCCACACUGGGACUGAGACACGGCCCAGACUCCUACGGGAGGCAGCAGUAGGGAAUCUUCGGCAAUGGACGGAAGUCUGACCGAGCAACGCCGCGUGAGUGAAGAAGGUUUUCGGAUCGUAAAGCUCUGUUGUAAGAGAAGAACGAGUGUGAGAGUGGAAAGUUCACACUGUGACGGUAUCUUACCAGAAAGGGACGGCUAACUACGUG